GAAAACUUAUUAUUUUGUUCCUUUUCCUUUUUUAAAAUAUAUGACUAGCUUUCUGGGAAUUUGAAUAAAUGCAUUUUUGCAGCUAGACUUGUAACCAUAAAACUUUCUUUUACAGUGUAGUUAUUAAAAAAUGGGAUAUUGAAUGGUUGGGAGUGGAACUUGAAUUGUUGAGACAAAACAAAAUAAGUCAUUUGAAUUUCCUGCACAAAUAUUCCCUUAGUUUUUACAAUUUUAUUUUGCAUGUAAAUAUGUAAUAGCUUGUGUUUCCUUGUUUUAAUUUUUUUAUGCCACAGGACUU
rnacentral:misc_RNA from 1 species